CCUACGGGGGGCAGCAGUGGGGAAUAUUGGACAAUGGGGGGAACCCUGAUCCAGCGACGCCGCGUGAGUGAAGAAGUAUUUCGGUAUGUAAAGCUCUAUCAGCAGGGAAGAAAAUGACGGUACCUGACUAAGAAGCCCCGGCUAACUACGUGCCACCAGCCGCGGUAAUACGUAGGGGGCCAGCGUUAUCCGGCUUUACUGGGUGUAAAGGGAGCGUAGACGGUGCAGCAAGUCUGAUGUGAAAGGUCGGGGCCCAACCCCGGGACUGCAUUGGAAACUGGUGAACUGGAGUACAGGAGAGGUAAGCGGAAUGCCUAGUGUAGCGGUGAAAUGCGUAGAUAUUAGGAGGAACACCAGUGGCGAAGGCGGCCUGCUGGACAUGAACUGACGCUGAGGCGCGAAAGCGUGGGGAGCAAACAGGAUUAGAUACCCCUGUAGUC
rnacentral:rRNA from 1 species